GAAUGUGAGGGCAAUCUGGCUGCGACCCAUCACCUCGUCCAUCAGCAGGGCCAGGCGGGUGUCCCUGUCGUCUCUCCACGCUCCACGUGUAUCCCUCCUGAAGAUGCACGCUCAGUGGGAGGACACCCACUACAUAGAGGAGGAUCAUUCCUCGACCCGGAGUACACACAAAGCUGCGCUCCCCCGCUGGAGCCUCCAAACAAGCUCUCAAGAAGUCACUAUGACAUCAUAGCCCCUUGCCUCCUCU
rfam:Cavia porcellus supercont2_140 genomic scaffold, whole genome shotgun sequence.